AAUUGGUCCUUUUCCUUCCUGCUGACUUUCGUUAUUGGAAUCGAACGGAGCAUUUUAGUAUGCCCCGGCUGACUGUAACGGGGUGACUGAACCUGGCACUCAGUAUUUGCGCUGGAGUUGGUCGUUGCUCCCAAUAUUUGAGGUAACUGAACAUUAAUAAAAGUCCCCUUUCUUUACAUUUUCAUGGUAUACUCGUAUUACAACAUGACACCGCUUUAUACUC
rnacentral:lncRNA from 1 species